GAAGUUUAUUCUUGUUGGUCUGAGCUUUGCUUUGGAACAGUCUCCUCUGCACUGAUGCUAGGUGCUGCCCGUGAAGCGAGCCUCAUAGCUACAAAGAGUUCAACUCUGAUGUCUGGUACUGGAAAAUUCUUGUUUUGAAGACUUGGAGUCACCUACAGAAGACAGCGUGCUAGAGCAUAAGACUACUAAGGUCUGCAAAGUUCUCCAGUAUUAAGAGUGAUUUGUUCCAUCCUGGGACACAAUGAAGAAAAAUGGUGCAAAUCAACCUCCUGAAGUGUCUGCCUUCUCCAUGACCUGCAAAGGGUCUUUGGGCAAGACAGUUUCCACUAGGUAUCAUAGAAUCAGAUGUGGGAAGGAAAAAGAAACUUACCAACAGAAGAGGCUGAGUCCUGGGAAGCCAUCAGUCAGCUAAGGAUGUGGUGCCAGAGUGGAUCUGCAGCUCAUGGGACCAGGAUGUGAUCUGUGAAUGUUGUAUAUCUUUAAAUGCAUGCAAUUUCUGCUUUAUUUGCUUUACACUGGGCUCUUAGGAGUGCCUUUUCCUUUGAAGGGACCCUGGUGGCAUCAGCCAGAUGGCAUUUCCACCACUCGGGGUAAUCACAGAGAGGGAGCAGCAAAGCCAGGAGAGGUGUUUUAUACAAAAGUGCCCUCUUUAACAGGGACACUGCUGUCUGUCAAAGGUUGAACUGAUCUUUUCAGCAGUAGUUUUUUUGUCUUCUACCCACCUGCCUAAUUUUCAUGGUAUUUGAAGGAAUUAAGCAUUUUUUUGGUGUGUCUUUCAUAUCAUGCCAGCUUUAGACACUGCACUGGGAAAGUUUUAAGGGAAGAAAAAAAGCAGUAGCUGUUGACAGACAC